AAUAUAAGAGGAAGGGAGCCAGUGGCUGUGUUGUGCUAUGAGGCUGUGUAAAGUUCUUACUGGAAUAAGGUGACACAAAUGUUUUGGUUUAAAAAAUAAUAAUAAUCAGCUGAAGUAUUUGGAAAUUCAACUGGAAGAGAUUUGAGGAUAGAUGGGGUUGUGAGUGAAUUUGGCUGUGCUGGAAGUUUGCCCUGAAGUAAAAGCUACUCGGAGGCUAGCGUCAGGGUCAAUGUCUCUGCCUUAGCAUGGACCAACACUGGAGGGUAUAAUAAUUCACUCUCAGGGAGUACCUUCACAAAAAACCCUACAUUUUAUUUUAUUUAUUAAGUUUAAAUCCUAUGCAGCCAUAGGUUCUCGCAGUGAAUUACAGGGAAGUGUUAUUUUGGCAAGGGUUCUGAGAAUUCGCCAUCAGAUAUUCCCCUCCUCCCUUAAAAAAAACAACAACCCCUCUUUUGUAGAAGUAUAAUUCUCACUGACUUCCCUGGGAAAACAAACAUCUGUCACAGAGGCAGUGUGGUGCAGUGGUUAGACUGCCUAUGACCGGACACACCCAGAUUCAAAUCUCCUCAACCCAUGCCACCAAACUCCCUCAGCAACCUUGGACCAGUCACAUUCUCUCUCAGCCUCUCAGUGUCGUUGAGAGAAUAAUUGAGGCCCUUCUCUCCAGGCUCUGCUCCACUCCUUUAUUGAAUCCGUUUCCCUGGCUGGAAUGUGUCCUUGAACUCAGAUAAUACCUCUGGCUUGCCUGGAUUGAGAGAUGUUUGUAAAUGGAAUGUAGCCUGCUCCUGUGCCUGGAGACAGUCAGAUCGUGUAUCCACAGCAGCGACUAGGGGAGGAAUGACUGCUGGGAGAAGCAUAGAAAGAAGAAUUGCCAUGGUACACCUGCAUCAGCACAACUGGAUGCCUUCAUUUGCCCCACCUGCAACAAAACAUGUCUCUCUCAUAUCAGCCUCUACAGCUACAACAGGCAAUGCAACUCCAAUGGAUUGACUUCACCUCCAAAGGCAUACUCCUCCAUUGUCUCCUGAGACAGAUGGACACCAACAACAAAGCUUGCUCUACAAAGACCUCAACUCCUCUACGUAAAACUUGCAUGUAUGUAAGUGCAGUGGCUAUUUGCUACUCACUGCUUGCAAGAGGAAAGGCACAAAUUCUAUUCUGAUCUGCCAAAGUUUCCUACCUGAUUCCCUGGAACUGAUCCUGAGUAGUCACUACAGGUAUGCUGUCAACAUGCCAAUUUCCUUGGGAUGAAAUACUUGCGGCAAGUCUAUUAAUGAGGGGGCGAAGAAGGAACAGCAGAGAUUUUCCUCCAGUUUUUAAAUUGUAUUGGGCAUGCUUUGCCAUGCUGCACACAUGAUCCCUGUGGAUGUUGGCCAUUAACCUCCCACUGUGACCUUGACAUCGCAGUGGUGCAAUUCCUUCUGGUUACUGUGCACCUACCUAUCUGGUGACUUUUGAAUAAAUAAAAAGGAAGCUGUUUUAUUUUUAACACAUUUCCCACAUUUACAGUGGGCAGUCCUGACCUCUGGGUCAGAGAUUUCCUAGCAAUUACCGUAAAUAACCAAACCAAAGAGAUUUUGGCCACUUCUGUUGGCUAGAAAUAUUGAUGAAGGUCCAGGCCUUGCAAAGCUUUGGCAUGGCAUGCCU